UCACGCCUGUAAUCCCAGCACUUUGGGAGGCUGAGGCAGACAGAUCACUUUAGGCUAGGAAAUCGAGACCAGCCUGGCCAACUUGGUGAAACCCUGUCUCUACUAAAAAUA